GGCGGUAGGCCUAACACAUGCAAGUCGAACGGCAGCACAGUAAGAGCUUGCUCUUACGGGUGGCGAGUGGCGGACGGGUGAGGAAUACAUCGGAAUCUACUUUUUCGUGGGGGAUAACGUAGGGAAACUUACGCUAAUACCGCAUACGACCUACGGGUGAAAGCAGGGGAUCUUCGGACCUUGCGCGAUUGAAUGAGCCGAUGUCGGAUUAGCUAGUUGGCGGGGUAAAGGCCCACCAAGGCGACGAUCCGUAGCUGGUCUGAGAGGAUGAUCAGCCACACUGGAACUGAGACACGGUCCAGACUCCUACGGGAGGCAGCAGUGGGGAAUAUUGGACAAUGGGCGCAAGCCUGAUCCAGCCAUACCGCGUGGGUGAAGAAGGCCUUCGGGUUGUAAAGCCCUUUUGUUGGGAAAGAAAUCCAGCUGGCUAAUACCCGGUUGGGAUGACGGUACCCAAAGAAUAAGCACCGGCUAACUUCGUGCCAGCAGCCGCGGUAAUACGAAGGGUGCAAGCGUUACUCGGAAUUACUGGGCGUAAAGCGUGCGUAGGUGGUCGUUUAAGUCCGUUGUGAAAGCCCUGGGCUCAACCUGGGAACUGCAGUGGAUACUGGGCGACUAGAGUGUGGUAGAGGGUAGCGGAAUUCCUGGUGUAGCAGUGAAAUGCGUAGAGAUCAGGAGGAACAUCCAUGGCGAAGGCAGCUACCUGGACCAACACUGACACUGAGGCACGAAAGCGUGGGG
rnacentral:rRNA from 1 species